rnacentral:rRNA from 1 species
AGAGUUUGAUCCUGGCUCAGGACGAACGCUGGCGGCGCGCCUAACACAUGCAAGUCGAACGGAGCUGUUUUCUCUGAAGUUUUCGGAUGGAAGAGAGUUCAGCUUAGUGGCGAACGGGUGAGUAACACGUGAGCAACCUGCCUUUCAGUGGGGGACAACAUUUGGAAACGAAUGCUAAUACCGCAUAAGACCACAGUGUCGCAUGGCACAGGGGUCAAAGGAUUUAUCCGCUGAAAGAUGGGCUCGCGUCCGAUUAGCUAGAUGGUGAGGUAACGGCCCACCAUGGCGACGAUCGGUAGCCGGACUGAGAGGUUGAACGGCCACAUUGGGACUGAGACACGGCCCAGACUCCUACGGGAGGCAGCAGUGGGGAAUAUUGCACAAUGGGGGAAACCCUGAUGCAGCGACGCCGCGUGGAGGAAGAAGGUCUUCGGAUUGUAAACUCCUGUCCCAGGGGACGAUAAUGACGGUACCCUGGGAGGAAGCACCGGCUAACUACGUGCCAGCAGCCGCGGUAAAACGUAGGGUGCAAGCGUUGUCCGGAAUUACUGGGUGUAAAGGGAGCGCAGGCGGAUUGGCAAGUUGGGAGUGAAAUCUAUGGGCUCAACCCAUAAAUUGCUUUCAAAACUGUCAGUCUUGAGUGGUGUAGAGGUAGGCGGAAUUCCCGGUGUAGCGGUGGAAUGCGUAGAUAUCGGGAGGAACACCAGUGGCGAAGGCGGCCUACUGGGCACUAACUGACGCUGAGGCUCGAAAGCAUGGGUAGCAAACAGGAUUAGAUACCCUGGUAGUCCAUGCCGUAAACGAUGAUUACUAGGUGUGGGAGGAUUGACCCCUUCCGUGCCGCAGUUAACACAAUAAGUAAUCCACCUGGGGAGUACGACCGCAAGGUUGAAACUCAAAGGAAUUGACGGGGGCCCGCACAA